rnacentral:tRNA from 1 species
CUGUAGCUCAGCAGGAUAGAGCGUUCGCCUCCUAAGCGAAAGGCCGGAGGUUCGAAUCCUCUCAG